rnacentral:rRNA from 1 species
UGGGGAAUCUUGCACAAUGGGGGAAACCCUGAUGCAGCGACGCCGCGUGAACGAUGAAGCCCUUCGGGGUGUAAAGUCCUCUCGACGGGGACGAUAAUGACGGUACCCGGAGAAGAAGCUGCGGCUAACUACGUGCCAGCAGCCGCGGUAAUACGUAGGCAGCAAGCGUUGUUCGGAAUUACUGGGCGUAAAGAGUGCGUAGGUGGUUGGCCAAGUUUGGUGUGAAAUCUCCCGGCUUAACUGGGAGGGUGCGCCGAAAACUGGUUGACUAGAGUGUGGGAGAGGGACGUGGAAUUCCUGGUGUAGCGGUGAAAUGCGUAGAUAUCAGGAGGAACACCUGCGGUGUAGACGGCGUCCUGGACCAUGACUGACACUGAGGCACGAAAGCGUGGGGAGCAAACA